UUUAAGCUCUUAGCAUGAAAACUUUUAUAAAAACCUUAUGUUUAUUACGUUUAUGUUGCGAUAGAUUUCUUACUGAGUCUUUGACUCAUUUUAGUUUGUUUUCAUGUUUUUAACCACCCAAGUAAGGAUGAUGAACACGAGCAGGCAGACCAAGAUUAGAAGGAGCAGUUUAUUUAGUUUCAGACCUUCUAGAAUAAAAUUACUUUUAUGACAUGAAUUUAUUCAGUUAAUACUCAUUUAUUCAAGAUUUU